rnacentral:rRNA from 1 species
AGAGUUUGAUCCUGGCUCAGAUUGAACGCUGGCGGCAUGCCUUACACAUGCAAGUCGAACGCGAAAGCGGGGCAACCCGCAAGUAGAGUGGCGAACGGGUGAGUAAUACAUCGGAACAUUUCCAGUAGCGGGGGAUAACCUGUCGAAAGAUAGGCUAAUACCGCAUACGCCCUACGGGGGAAAGCGGAGGACCGCAAGGCUUCGCACUAUUGGAGUGGCCGAUGUCGGAUUAGCUAGUUGGCGGGGUAAAAGCCCACCAAGGCUACGAUCCGUAGCUGGUCUGAGAGGACGAUCAGCCACACUGGAACUGAGACACGGUCCAGACUCCUACGGGAGGCAGCAGUGGGGAAUUUUGGACAAUGGGCGCAAGCCUGAUCCAGCCAUGCCGCGUGAGUGAAGAAGGCCUUCGGGUUGUAAAGCUCUUUCGGCGGGGACGAAAUGGUUCGUGCUAAUACCACGGACUGAUGACGGUACCCGAAGAAGAAGCACCGGCUAACUACGUGCCAGCAGCCGCGGUAAU